rnacentral:rRNA from 1 species
UAGGGAAUCUUCGGCAAUGGACGAAAGUCUGACCGAGCAAUGCCGCGUGAGUGAAGAAGGUUUUCGGAUCGUAAAACUCUGUUGUUAGAGAAGAACAAGGACGUUAGUAACUGAACGUCCCCUGACGGUAUCUAACCAGAAAGCCACGGCUAACUACGUGCCAGCAGCCGCGGUAAUACGUAGGUGGCAAGCGUUGUCCGGAUUUAUUGGGCGUAAAGCGAGCGCAGGCGGUUUCUUAAGUCUGAUGUGAAAGCCCCCGGCUCAACCGGGGAGGGUCAUUGGAAACUGGGAGACUUGAGUGCAGAAGAGGAGAGUGGAAUUCCAUGUGUAGCGGUGAAAUGCGUAGAUAUAUGGAGGAACACCAGUGGCGAAGGCGGCUCUCUGGUCUGUAACUGACGCUGAGGCUCGAAAGCGUGGGGAGCAAACAGG